rnacentral:rRNA from 1 species
AACGAACGCUGGCGGCAGGUCUUAGGCAUGCGAGUCGAACGGGUGUAGCAAGACAUCAGUGGCGCACGAGUGAGUAACGCGGGGGAAUUUGCCCAUCGGUGGGGAAUAACGUUUGGAAACGAACGCCAAUACCGCAUACGUCGAGAAAUCGAGAAAGAUUUAUCGCCGAUGGAUAAGCCCGCGUUGGAUUAGCUUGUUGGUAGGGUAAUGGCCUACCAAGGCGAUGAUCCAUAGCUGGUCUGAGAGGACGAUCAGCCACGCUGGAACUGAGACACGGCCCAGAAUCGUACGGGGGGAGGCAGCGAAGAAUAUUGGACAAUGGAGGAAAAGCUGAUCCAGCCAUGCCGCGUAAGUGAAGAAGGCCUUCGGGUUGUAAAGCUCUUUUAGUCGUGAGGUUGAUGACGUUAGCGACAGAAAAAGCACCGGCUAACUGCGAGCCAGCAGCCGCCGUAA